AAGAAAGAGCUGGAGUUCUAUAAAGAAGAUGAGCUUGAGCUUCUGCGAGAGACCCUCAGCUCUGAAAUCCGCUCCCUGCGACAGAAAUUGUCCCAGAAAGGCAUUGUGUGUUGAGGCUGGUUUCUUCAGUCAGACUUCAGCAUAUUCUUCAUUAGGCUCUACAUUUUUUGGGAUGUUAACUGUAAGUAAUUCUGUUUUAAACUGCCACUAAUGUUUUGGAUGGGAGUUAUUUUAAUUGUGUUGGAAAUAGACUUCAUAUACAGAUAAACAAUAUUUUAAAGAGUAUAAAUGUUUACAUUCAUGCUUUUAUUGUUGUUAUUUGUUAGAAAUGUGUUAAGCCAGUUCAUUUUAAAUAAGAAUCGGUCUUUUUCUGUAGAUAACUAAUCUGAUACUGCGUUUAUAUGUAAGUGCCAGUUCUAUUUAAAAUGCUGACAACACUGGCCUCUAGUGGUCAUGUUUUAAUAACACAUGCAAACAAAGAACAUUUAAAUUUGCUUUUAUUAUCCAUGUUGUUUUCUAUUUUAAAAAAGUUACAUACAGACUGAAUUGUAUUCACAUAAGUUAAAAAAAUAUACUUCUUGUUUGUAAUUAAAUGCUUAUAUGCACAUGUUAGACUAAUGUAAAAUAUGCAAAGUCUCAAAUAAUUUUCAACAUGGUCAUCCAGUGUGUUUAUGAUAUAAAUGGGUCAUAUAAAUCCAUCUGCCAUUAAGCUGACCUGUCUAAUUCUCAAAUGCUCCUUAGACCCCGAUGGGCUGAUUAUUCCAGAAAUAUAAAUUAAAUAGUCUGAAACCUC